GUGAACCCAUAACCCGCCACUGGUACCGGUAGACCACCCGGGUCCGGCUCAUCGGGUGCACCUGGGCUGGGACCCCGUCAGCAGUGGAGAAGUACUCACAUCUGUUACUGCAGUAAAAGUAGAAAUACUCUAUUACAACUAAAAGUCCUUCAUUCACAACUUUACUGACGUGAAAGUACAAAAGUGUCAGCAUCAAAAUAUAUUUGAAGUAUCAGAAGUAGAGGUGCUGGGUGGGUAGACAUACGAUACUGAUAAAUAUCAAUACUUAUUGAUGAUGUAUUGAAUCAUUAAUCGGCAUCUGCAGAUAAACGUAGAGCGGUGAAACGUAAAGUCUUUGCCUCAGAUGUGGAGUCUGCAGAAAAUGGAAAGCGGUGGAGCGGAUGUACUCGGCGGGAGGCUGCGCUCUUCCUCCGCCGUUCAACUGGGUCGUGAUGCGGUUCAGGGUCAGUGUCUGGUUCUGGCUCGAACAGCGUCCCAAGCCGGCGCCAGAGGAUGAAAAGACAGAACGUGAACUCCCAGCAAAUCCAACAGUAAUCUGAGCGGCUGUCCACACUCAGUGGAAUACAUCAAGGCCAGUGCAGCUGGUGAUGGGGACAGAGGCAAAUCCAGCCCCUCCACAUUAAGAGCCCCUCUUCAAAUGCUCCCCACCGGUACUUUUGAUGUCGUCAGCGUAAAAAGAAACGGUGCCAUUUCACGCUGGGACACGUCGAGAGUCUGCCUCUUCCCUGAGACAGAGUCAAGACCUCCCCGUCCCAAAUGUCACAGUGUGACUGCAGCCGGACCCAUGUAAACCAGCGUAUGAGGUGCUGGAGUCAGAUCCAGACUGGGUCCCGUCGCUACACCCGGGUCACACUGAAGGAAACGCCGGACGGGCCGAGCGUCUCCCGCUGUCUGUGCAGGCAGAGACGGACCGGAACCUAAGACGGACGACAGAGACGAGUCCGUCGGACGCGUUGAGAACAACCCGGAGAGAAUCAGAGGCAGCAGGAGGACUUCUCCAGAGAUGCUCUUGAGGCUUCUGUGGAGGCCACCAGCAGGUCCAGAGCCCAGUCACAGAGACCCCCUUCAGUCUCUGGGGAGUAUAAAGCUAAACUUGAACGCUCCACCUCUGAAGGACCCGAGUCAGACCAGCGAAGAGUCCUCCUCCUCCUCCCGUCUGAGCUGUGUCAGACUGCAGAGGAGGAUCAAGGAGCUGGAGGAGAAGUUGUUUCAUCUGGCAGGACAACAGGAGGACAUGCAGACCUGACCUGUCUUCACAGGGCUCCCAUCCAAUGCACCAGUCCACAGAGGGGAGGAAGGGACAGCAUGCAAGUGGACGGAGCCUCUCUCUCCUCAUGUGGAUCUCCACAAAGGGGAUUGGGACGUGGACUCGGCCGACGAGUCCUGCAGUUUCUCAGAACGACUCGUCCAAACGUAAGCCUCUCCGGCCCCUUCGCUUCCAGACGGCCCGGCUCAACCUGUUCUGGUUCCUGAGUUAUUCUCCGGCCCUCGACCAGAUGCGGUGCCACGUCUGUCGCCUCCACCCAGAAAACGGACGCCAGAACUUGGCUUCAAUCGAAGGCCCCAGGAGAAAACUAGACAGACUGGCAAGGCAGCUGAGCUAGAAGGCUCCCUGGAUGUGGAGCUCCUUUUCCCCUCAGAAACCCCUGAACUGUCCCUGUCUGACACUGUGUUGCAGCCGGUGGCACAGGGAACGUUUCACUGGUAGAGGGAGGAAUGGAUCCUGUUAGACACCAGCAGAUUCUGGGAGCAAACAUCACACCGUCGGUAAAAAAGCUGAAGAUGAAGAGAGGAGCUAAUGAUCCUAAACACACCUCAAAAUCCACAAUGGACUACCUCUAGAGGUGCACGCUGAAGGUCUGGCCCCGGCCCUCACAGUCCCCCGACCUAAACCUCACUGAAAAUCUGUGCAUGACCCUCAAAAGAGCAGGGCAGCCAAGACGGACCAAGAACCUCACGGAACCAGAAGCCGAAAAUCCCCCAAACAGGACCUGAAAGACUCUUAGCUGCUUUAAAGAAAAGUGUUUACAAGCUGCCAGAGGGGGCGCUACUGAGCGCUGAGCAUGCAGGGCGCCCCGACUCUUUCAUGCCGCUGUAUGAACCUUGUUCUGUUGUACAUUUCCAAAAUAAACUGUCUUUAGUUAGACACAUUUGACUGAGGCUUGUUGGGGCAUAAUAACGCCUGUGGAGUAUUUUAUAUUGAAUAAAUGUUCCCAUGGCUUCUGCGAUAUAUUCCCCUCCAUUCUCCCGCGGUUCUUGAUAAAAUGAAUGGUCCGAGUCUUUUCCCCAAACGAUCCUACGGCUGCAGAAUGUGUGUUUCCUUCCUCUAGGGUUUGCCCCGGAUAUCGACCGAACCGCUCCGCUGCCGUUGUGUCUCUGGAGUUUAGACCGGUCUUCCUUUUACCCCGGUCCAGGUGGUCACCCAGUGUCCCACUGAAAUCUCCCCCCAGAACAAUCUGACCAUCCGCACAGAAGACGCUUGGUUCCUCGUCGUUCGGGGCAUAAACGUCACAAAGUACAAGGUGGACUCGGUUAACAAGCGCCUCUACGCACGUGAUGCGUCCAGCGUUUUCCUCAAGUGGUUGUGACAAUACAAAAUUGAGUUUCUUGUCAGAAAGAAUAACAACCCCACAGCUCUGACUAGAUAUUUCGUUAUGGAAAACCUUCCCAACCCAGUCCCGUUUCAGUUUCAGAGCUUCCUCUUCCUCUUCACCUCGAACUAGUGUUAGUUCUGUCAGCUAUUUUCAGUCUGUCCUGAGGCGAAAGGUCCAUGUUAGUCUUAGUCAUAUUCAGUCGACCUGGUUAUUUUUAUUUUCAGUCGGUUUUUACUAGAACUCUGGACGCAGCCCGGUUCGUCCGGUUUCUGGUCCUGACCGAGAAUCAGCAUUUUACUCAAACUGCAGCAAACUGCUUCCCGUUAAGAUCUCAUCCAACUGAUUCUAACAGUCAAGUCUGGCAGGAUGCGACAACAGUAACAGAUCCGAGGCAGUUUAAUUCAGAACUCAGAAACAGAAAGAACUCUGUUCAGCCGCCCCGCAGUGAAUCCUACCUCGUUAUGUUCAGGGUUUGA